rnacentral:rRNA from 1 species
CAGCCGCCGCGGGAAUACGUAGGUGGCAAGCGUUGUCCGGAAUUAUUGGGCGUAAAGCGCGCGCAGGCGGAUCAGUCAGUCUGUCUUAAAAGUUCGGGGCUUAACCCCGUGAGGGGAUGGAAACUGCUGAUCUAGAGUAUCGGAGAGGAAAGUGGAAUUCCUAGUGUAGCGGUGAAAUGCGUAGAUAUUAGGAAGAACACCAGUGGCGAAGGCGACUUUCUGGACGAAAACUGACGCUGAGGCGCGAAAGCCAGGGGAGCGAACGGGAUUAGAUACCCCUGUAGUCCCUGUCUCUUAUACA